CAAGUCAAGGUCGGAUUUCUUCUUCAAGUCAAGGUCGGAUUUCUUCUUCAAGUCAAGGUCGGAUUUCUUCUUCAAGUCAAGGUCGGAUUUCUUCUUCAAGUCAAGGUCGGAUUUCUUCUUCAAGUCACCCAUUCUCACAAGUAUCAUCUUACACAGGAUACGAAGUCUGGAAAUAGGAUUUUUUACAGCUACGUUCUUGAAAGACCAACAGGAUGCCGAAACAACUAAAAAAACGCAAGUGUGUAUUGACUGACUCUAUACGAAAAGAAUUUCCAUUUCUCAGGCCAGGAGAAAAUGAAAACUCAGCUUUCUGUUCAAUGUGUAAGAUAUCUUUUACUAUCGCAAGUGGUGGGCGAGCAUCUGUAACUGACCAUAUAGCUUGUAAAAAACAUAAAAGGGCACAGCUGUCUCAAGCUGGUACUUCAAAAGUAAACACAUUUUUUAAAAAAUUGUUACCUGAUAAAAGUGAGUUACACUUGGCACUUCAAGAAGGAACAUAUGCAUUCCAUACAAUAAAGCAUCAUCAUAGUUUUAGGUCAA